GAUGAACGCUAGCGGCAGGCCUAAUGCAUGCAAGACGAACGGUAAGUUGAGUAGCAAUACUUAGCCAAGAGUGUCGCACGGGUGCGUAACACGUAUGCAACCUACCCUAUACAGGAGGAUAGCCUAGGGAAACCUGGAUUAACCCUUCAUAGUAUUAUUGGAUGGCAUCAUUUGAUAAUUAAAACUGAGGUGGUAUAGGAUGGGCAUGCGUCUGAUUAGUUAGUUGGCGGGUAAUGGCCCACCAAGACGAUGAUCAGUAGGGGUUCUGAGAGGAAGAUCCCCCACACUGGCACUGAGAUACGGGCCAGACUCCUACGGGAGGCAGCAGUAGGGAAUAUUGGUCAAUGGAUGCAAGUCUGAACCAGCCAUGCCGCGUGCAGGAAGAAGGCCUUUCUGGGGUUGUAAACUGCUUUUGCCAGGGGAUAAAAUUUCCAUGCGUGGAAAACUGAAGGUACCUGGUGAAUAAGCCACGGCUAACUACGUGCCAGCAGCCGCGGUAA
rnacentral:rRNA from 1 species